rnacentral:hammerhead_ribozyme from 15 species
AGCUGGUCGGGAGCUAAUAACGCUCUCCUGACGAGAUCAUGGCAGGCCGAAACCAGUU